rnacentral:rRNA from 1 species
UGCAUCGAUGAGAACGCAGCGAAAUGCGAUACGUAAUGUGAAUUGCAAAUUCAGUGAAUCAUCGAGUCUUUGAACGCACAUUGCGCCCCCUGGUAUUCCGGGGGGCAUGCCUGUCCGAGCGUCAUUGCUGCCCUCAAGCCCGGCUUGUGUGUUGGGCCCCGUCCUCCGAUUCCGGGGGACGGGCCCGAAAGGCAGCGGCGGCACCGCGUCCGGUCCUCGAGCGUAUGGGGCUUUGUCACCCGCUCUGUAGGCCCGGCCGGCGCUUGCCGAUCAACCCAAAUUUUUAUCCAGGUUGACCUCGGAUCAGGUAGGGAUACCCGCUGAACUUAAGCAUAUCAAUAAGCGGAGGAA